AUUGAACGCUGGCGGCAGGCCUAACACAUGCAAGUCGAGCGGUAACAGAACUAGCUUGCUAGUUGCUGACGAGCGGCGGACGGGUGAGUAACGCGUGGGAAUCUGCCUGGUAGUGGGGGACAACAGUUGGAAACGACUGCUAAUACCGCAUACGCCCUUCGGGGGGAAAGUAGGGGAUCUUCGGACCUUACGCUAUCAGAUGAGCCCGCGUCGGAUUAGCUUGUUGGUGAGGUAAAAGCUCACCAAGGCGAUGAUCCGUAGCUGGUCUGAGAGGAUGAUCAGCCACACUGGGACUGAGACACGGCCCAGACUCCUACGGGAGGCAGCAGCGGGGAAUAUUGGACAAUGGGGGCAACCCUGAUCCAGCCAUGCCGCGUGUGUGAAGAAGGCCUUCGGGUUGUAAAGCACUUUCAG
rnacentral:rRNA from 1 species